GACCCAGGACCUGUGGCGAGUGCCCCAGCAACGCGGAAAGCCUGCUCCCUUUGGGAUUGGACGGGGCGUACGGCGCGAAACAGCGAAGGCUCAGCCGAGCCAGAGGUAGAAAAGAGCUCCGCACAUGGACGGCGGAACAGCGGAGUGAGGCGUGCUGGAAAAAGACAGGAGCCGCAGCCAGGGUGCGGAAGACAGCCGCUGAUGCCACUGGGAUGAAGAGGCCAGAGCAUCGCACAUCGCUGAAGAAGAGGGGGCCAUGUGCCGCCGGACUGUGAGGCGCCGCUCCUCAGGAGUCUGUCAAGCAGUCGUGGGGGUGGCAUAUUCAGAGCCCUGCAGCCAGCAGGAAGGAGUCAUGACCGGCAGGAGCCAGCAACUGCAGCGGAGAGCGCAGUGUGGCGCUUCUGGUAGGCGGGGCGGCAUGAUGACAUCAUUUGUGGGCGUUGGAACGCCGUGUCCACGCCGGAACUCAUCGCACAUGAGGGGGGAUAUAAGGAACCGGAAGCCCGUUCACGUCUGAUGCCAGUUGUGUUGUUGCCAAGGGGAUCCUCCCGUGAACCGCAUACUGACCCGCAUGACGAUGUCACUUAUACCGGAAGUCGACGUGUAGCAUAUAGAUGAUUUCUAGUCUAAUUUGUUCAAAGUCCAUGCCUCGUUCUGGGUUCUGUAGCAUUGUGGAACGCAUAGUUUACUCUGAU